CACGGCGGCCCCUGUAGCAUAGCUGGACCCGCACAGACUGACGAUCCCCUCACCUGGCUCUUGUCUCCAAUCACCGUUCCCCACGCUGCCCGCGCCUCAGCUUUAUCUGGUAAAGACACAGAGCCCGCACCUGUUCUCCUGCGUCCCCGCCUGGCUGCCUCCUAAACAAGCCCUUUUUCUGCUGCACACCUUGGCGUCCCGACUGUUCGCUCCCUGUGCAUGGGGCAAGCGAACCUGGUUUGGCAGCAGGAAGGCCAUGCCCAGGGGUGCGGCAGGACAGAGAAGGGGGAAGAUGUCUGCUGGUGGCCAAAGUGGCAACUCUGCACCAGAGGCCGGAGGGGACGGCGCUGGCUACCUUCCGGGGCCAGUCCUGGCUGCACUAACAGUCGUCGCGCGCUUUUGUUGCAGAAACCGUGGCCCUGGAAGGAGACGAACGGCACCCGGAGAUGUGGAAAAGCAAGGCUUUCUUCAAUCAUCCCAGGCAAGGUAUUUCAAGCAUGUGGGCUGAGAGGUGCCCACGGGCUCAGAGGCCAGCUCUACUUGGCGACCUUCAGUCCCGAGAGCCUCCGUUUCUUCACCUGCGCAGUGGAGGCGAGAGUCGUGAUCUUCGCGGCUGGGCUGGGUGGAGGCUGAAGUGAGCCACUCACUCCUGCUCAGACUGAAGACGAGAACCUGGGGGACGGUCAGGGCUCAGUCACAAAAUGGAUCAAUGACUCGAAAGAGGUUCUUCGAAAUGCAGAGCAAUGAUGGCAGCAUAAGCUCUCAGAACACGGUAAG